AUCUUUAUUAUUUCGAUGAUAAUGUUCGUCGAGGACUAGUAGAUAAAAAGCCCAUUCGCGUCUCACAACUCUCCAACCUCAUUUUUCGAGCAUUAUGGCAUGGGACAUGGACAACAAAGGCAAUAUCACGUACCUAACACUGUGCACAGGAAAAUUAGCUGGAGCUAGCUGUGAUGUGAGUGCAAUUGGAUUGGAAUUGAAACUACACACUGCGUUCUGUGCCAGUUGACCACUACAUCCGUUUAGAGUGAAAUACUUGAAAAGGAGUGUCACUCUGAGUUUAGCAGUUGAAACAUUCAUUUCCUGCUGUCCAGACCAUGAAGUAAUUUGUUUAAUUCCAUUAUUUUGUCACGGCUACGUGCACAGCAUUCAAAAUACCAGUGAGCAGCUCAAUGCUGAUGAUAAUGAUGAUGAUGAUCAACAGCAGCAGCACGGCAUGUGGAUUAGGCGAGGGGGGUGUGCAUGGGCAUGUAGUGAAGAAUUUGUGCCAAUUAGAGGCGCCUUGUCGACACCAUGGGGCGUCUUGUCAACGCCAGACAAAACAACAUCGCGCCGCAUCAAGCUGCUUGUGGCGCUUUUUGUCCCCUGACAGUGAUAUUUAUGCAAAAGAAGCGGAUUAUUAUAUAUAUUCAUUU